rnacentral:rRNA from 3 species
CGAAAGUUAGAGGUUCGAAGGCGAUCAGAUACCGCCCUAGUUCUAACCAUAAACGAUGCCAACUAGCGAUCCGCCUGAGUUCCUCAAAUGACUCGGCGGGCAGCUUCCGGGAAACCAAAGUGUUUGGGUUCCGGGGGAAGUAUGGUUGCAAAGCUGAAACUUAAAGGAAUUGACGGAAGGGCACCACCAGGAGUGGAGCCUGCGGCUUAAUUUGACUCAACACGGGAAAACUUACCCGGCCCGGACACUGGAAGGAUUGACAGAUUAAGAGCUCUUUCUUGAUUCAGUGGGUGGUGGUGCAUGGCCGUUCUUAGUUGGUGGAGCGAUUUGUCUGGUUAAUUCCGAUAACGAACGAGACUCUAGCCUACUAAAUAGGCGUUCCGAUCCUUUAUGUCGGACGUUCUUCUUAGAGGGACAAGCGGCUUUUAGCCGCACGAGACAGAGCAAUAACAGGUCUGUGAUGCCCUUAGAUGUCCGGGGCCGCACGCGCGCUACACUGAAGGAAUCAGCGUGUGCUUUCCCUGUCUGUUAGGACUGGGUAACCCGUUAAACCUCCUUCGUGAUAGGGAUAGGGAUUUGUAAUUGUUCCCUUGAACGAGGAAUUCCCAGUAAGCACGAGUCAUAAGCUCGUGUUGAUUACGUCCCUGCCCUUUGUACACACCGCCCGUCGCUACUACCGAUUGAAUGAUUUAGUGAGGUCUUCGGACUGGCGCUCGUAGCGACCUUUGGCCGCGCCGACGUGCCGGAAAGAUGACCAAACUUGAUCAUUUAGAGGAAGUAAAAGU